rnacentral:rRNA from 1 species
UGGGGAAUAUUGCACAAUGGGCGCAAGCCUGAUGCAGCCAUGCCGCGUGUAUGAAGAAGGCCUUCGGGUUGUAAAGUACUUUCAGCGGGGAGGAAGGGAGUAAAGUUAAUACCUUUGCUCAUUGACGUUACCCGCAGAAGAAGCACCGGCUAACUCCGUGCCAGCAGCCGCGGUAAUACGGAGGGUGCAAGCGUUAAUCGGAAUUACUGGGCGUAAAGCGCACGCAGGCGGUUUGUUAAGUCAGAUGUUAAAUCCCCGGGCUCAACCUGGGAACUGCAUCUGAUACUGGCAAGCUUGAGUCUCGUAGAGGGGGGUAGAAUUCCAGGUGUAGCGGUGAAAUGCGUAGAGAUCUGGAGGAAUACCGGUGGCGAAGGCGGCCCCCUGGACGAAGACUGACGCUCAGGUGCGAAAGCGUGGGGAGCAAACAGG